GAUGAAGAACGUAGCGAAAUGCGAUACGUAAUGUGAAUUGCAGAAUUCAGUGAAUCAUCGAGUCUUUGAACGCACAUUGCGCCCCCUGGUAUUCCGGGGGGCAUGCCUGUCCGAGCGUCAUUGCUGCCCUCAAGCACGGCUUGUGCGUUGGGCCUCCGUCCUCCUCCCGGGGGACGGGCCCGAAAGGCAGCGGCGGCACCGCGUCCGGUCCUCGAGCGUAUGGGGCUUCGUCACCCGCUCUUGUAGGCCCGGCCGGCGCUUGCCGACACAUCAAUCUUUUUUCCAGGUUGACCUCGGAUCAGGUAGGGAUACCCGCUGAACUUAAGCAUAUCAAUAAGCGGAGGA
rnacentral:misc_RNA from 1 species